rnacentral:rRNA from 1 species
GGUGGCGGGUGCUUACACAUGCAGUCGAACGAGACGGGUCUUACUGCUAAGACUGUCGCUAAGUGGCGCACGGGUGAGUAAUGUAUAGAUACGUGCCUCUUACAAGGGAAUAACAGUUGGAAACGACUGCUAAUGCCCUAUAUGCCUUUAGAACAAAAGUUCGCAAGGGAAAGUUUUUUCGGUAAGAGAUCGGUCUGUAUGGUAUCAGCUAGUUGGUGAGGUAAUGGCUCACCAAGGCAAUGACGCCUAACUGGUUUGAGAGGAUGAUCAGUCACACUGGAACUGAGACACGGUCCAGACUCCUACGGGAGGCAGCAGUGGGGAAUAUUGCACAAUGGGCGAAAGCCUGAUGCAGCAACGCCGCGUGGAGGAUGACACAUUUCGGUGCGUAAACUCCUUUUAUAUAUGAAGAUAAUGACGGUAAUAUAUGAAUAAGCGCCGGCUAACUCCGUGCCAGCAGCCGCGGUAAUACGGAGGGCGCAAGCGUUACUCGGAAUCACUGGGCGUAAAGAGCGUGUAGGCGG